rnacentral:ribozyme from 11 species
GUUGUUCUUUUCCUUUCUUUUCUUUUCCUUUUCUUUUCUUUCCUUUUCUUUUCCCCU